CAAUAGCGUAUAUUAAAGUUGUUGCAGUUAAAAAGCUCGUAGUUGGAUUUCUGUUUUGGAUGUCCGGUCCGCUCCCUCUGGGAGUGCGUACUUAUGGAUGUUCGAGGCAUUUUUUGUGAGGUCGCUUUUCUGCCAUUAAGUUGGUGGUUUUGCGGGCUUGCAUCGUUUACUGUGAAAAAAUUAGAGUGUUUAAAGCAGGCGUUUGCUCAUUUGAAUACAUUAGCAUGGAAUAAUAAGAUACGGCCUUGGUGGUCUAUUUUGUUGGUUUGCACACCAGGGUAAUGAUUAAUAGGGACAGUUGGGGGUAUUCAUAUUUCAGCGUCAGAGGUGAAAUUCUUGGAUCGCUGAAAGAUGAGCUUAGGCGAAAGCAUUUACCAAGGAUGUUUUCGUUAA
rnacentral:rRNA from 1 species